rnacentral:rRNA from 1 species
AUUGAACGCUGGCGGCAGGCCUAACACAUGCAAGUCGAACGAGGGGCGGACGGGUGAAUAAUGUCUAGGAAACUGCCCGAUGGAGGGGGAUAACUCCUGGAAACGGUAGCUAAUACGGCAUACCAUACGAUUAGCCCAGAUGGGAUUAGCUAGUAGGUGGGGUAACGGCUCACCUAGGCAACGAUCCCUAGCUGGUCUGCGAGGAUGACCAGCCAAACUGGAACUGAGACACGGUCCAGACUCCUACGGGAGGCAGCAGUGGGGAAUCUUGCGCAAUGGGCGCAAGCCUGAUGGAGCAAUGCCGCGUGUAUGAAGAAGGCCUUCGGGUUGUAAAAUACUUUCAGCGAGGAGGCGUUACUCGCACAAAAAGCACCGGCUAACUCCGUGCCAGCAGCCGCGGUAAUUC